UAGCUCAGUGGUAGAGCACUUGCUUGGCAUGUAUGAGGCACUGGGUUCAAUCCUCAG
rnacentral:tRNA from 1 species